AUGUAUUGGAACUAUGAUUCAUCUGAUGAGGACUACAGCUAUAAUGAAGAUUCAGAUGGUCAUAUAAGAAAGAUGAAGAGUACAUUCCCAAGAUACAACCCUGAAAGUGAAGUACCACAUUUUGCUUUGACCAUGGUUUUUAGAAGCAAGAAUCAACUGUGCAAAGCUUUGAGAAGAUAUGGACUAGUAACAAAGAGGAGCAUCAAGUUCAUGAAAUCUGAGUGUGACAGAGUAAGGGCAAAGUGUGGAUGGCCUGGCUACCCAUGGCUGAUAUAUGCAGCCAAGAGAUCAAGGACUUCAAGAUUCCAAGUCAUAACAUAUAAUGAUGAUCACCAAUGUGCACAGAACAGAUGCAACAAGUUGGUUACUUCAAAGGUGAUUGCACAGAGGUAUGAGCACUUCAUAUUGGCAAAUCCUAUG
rnacentral:rRNA from 1 species